rnacentral:rRNA from 1 species
GAUGAACGCUGGCGGCGUGCUUAACACAUGCAAGUCGAACGAAGACAUCUGAGUGCUUGCACUUGGAUGGACUGAGUGGCGGACGGGUGAGUAACGCGUGGGUAACCUGCCUUAUACAGGGGGAUAACAGUUGGAAACGACUGCUAAUACCGCAUAAGCGCACGGUAUCGCAUGAUACAGUGUGAAAAACUCCGGUGGUAUAAGAUGGACCCGCGUCUGAUUAGCUGGUUGGUGAGGUAACGGCCCACCAAGGCGACGAUCAGUAGCCGGCCUGAGAGGGUGAAUGGCCACAUUGGGACUGAGACACGGCCCAAACUCCUACGGGAGGCAGCAGUGGGGAAUAUUGCACAAUGGGGGAAACCCUGAUGCAGCGACGCCGCGUGAGUGAUGAAGUAUUUCGGUAUGUAAAACUCUAUCAGCAGGGAAGAUAAUGACGG